rnacentral:rRNA from 1 species
CCUACGGGAGGCAGCAGUGGGGAAUAUUGCGCAAUGGGCGAAAGCCUGACGCAGCGACGCCGCGUGAGGGAUGAAGGCCUUCGGAUCGUAAACCUCUGUCAGCAGGGAAGAAAGGCUACUGUGCUAAUCAGCAGUGAAUUGACUGUACCUGCAAAGGAAGCACCGGCUAACUCCGUGCCAGCAGCCGCGGGAAUACGGAGGGGGCGAGCGUUAAUCGGAAUUACUGGGCGUAAAGCGCGCGUAGGCGGUAUGUCAAGUCAAGGGUGAAAUCCCUGGGCUCAACGUGGGAACUGCCGUUGAAACUGGCAAGCUGGAGUGUGUGAGAGGAAAGUGGAAUUCCAGGUGUAGGAGUGAAAUGCGUAGAUAUCUGGAGGAACAUCAGUGGCGAAGGCGACUAACUGGCACAUAACUGACGCUGAGGAGCGAAAGCGUGGGUAGCAAACAGGAUUAGAGACCCCAGUAGUC